CUUUGAGGAAACCGAGAGGUGUAAAUUCUUCAGAGUUUUGCUUCCCUGCAGUUUGUGACAAAUGACAUAAGAGUGUGUGCAUUACCUCUGAGUCAGCCAGCACACGGAAGCAUCAGAACGUGAAAAGGCAGCACAUACAUGAAAAUCAUAAUGCAGUGCUUAUCGUAUCAUAGUUAGCAGUUCCUGUUUGGUAACUGAUGUUAAUCCCCUUGUAAUUACAGGAUCAAUGCACCAGGUUGUGGACCUCUGUAGAAAUAUUACUGAAAUGGAAGAGUUUCAACUUUCAUUGAUGGCAAAAUAGCUGGACCAAAUGGAGUAACAGACAGUGUGAGAAAUAAAUCUGACAGAGGAUGCAUCCAAUGCUGCGGAAUCUUCAAUUCAGGUGUCCUCUGGGGGCACCUUGAGUCAGCAUCUAGCCUUUACCUCGUGGAGAAGAAAGGAUUAAGAACUGAGAAAGGGCUGUUUCUGGUCUGCGUGAUGAUAGAAGGAAGCAAAGAAGCGAAACAGGAGACCAGAGAUUUCAAAUUCAGGUAAAUUAAGUUGAUCUGUUGUUCUCUGUCAAGCUCUUU